rnacentral:lncRNA from 1 species
GUCAGACUCCGGGGCGGUGCGGCAGCGCCAGGCCUGCAGUGCUAAGCGCGGGGUCCCUCGGGGCCCCGAGGGGGUGUGUCUCCUGCCUCUUUAACCUGGCAGGGGCGGUUCAAGUGGCCGGGAAAAUCAGCGAUUUGCAGAGUGGAGGGCUGGUGUUUUGAAAGAGAGGCGGAGGGGAGAGAGGGAUUUCCCCAUCCCCGCUGCACUGGGUCCAUCCCCUCGGUUACUCCUUUUCUCCGCCCGCGAGGCCCGUAACCUGCUGGAACCGUUAUGCAGUAGAGGCGGCCCGGUCCCUUUAAGACCCCGCCGCGCCUGCGCCUUGGGUUCUCCUGACUCCGCCGAGCCUGAUCCUGAGGAGCCAGUCGCGGGCUGGCGCGGGCGCGGGGCUGGCUGGCGGUUGAGACCGCGGCGGUACUGGGAGUGGUUGGUGAGGGUCGCGAGGCUGCCUGAGCUUCUGAGUGAGCAUGGCGCUUUUGGAACGCGGGACUGGCGACCUGCUGCGCCAGGAGCUGGGCCGAGGCGCGGCGGCGCGGCUGCUGGCUGCCCUCUGGAUGGGAAGUUACCGCGAAGUCCAACCCAGCCUUUCCGAGAUCAUCUCAUUUGGCUUCCUUUCACUGAAGAGUUAACCAGGACGUUUGACAUGGUUUCCUCGCUUUCCUCCUGUCUUUUGCUGCUAGAGCUGCUUUGGAAAAGAAGUCUUUUCUCAAGUGGUAUCUUUUCUUUGGGUUACAGUGUUGUUCAUCCUUUCUUUGCCGAAAGAAUGAAUCCCAGUGCUUCACGAAGUUAAAGAAAGAUCUGCUGGUAGUGUUUAAUCUUUGUUCGGAGCUGAUGUGCGUUAGUAGCUUUCUGUUUUUAAAUUUUAUUAGUAAAAUUUCACCAGUGAAGCAGAAGCUAUUUUUUUCUAUUCUGAAAUGCUAGCUUUAAGAUUUCUGAGAACUUUGUGUCAAAGAAAUCUUUGAAAAGGUACUGAAGUAUACAGAAGAAGUUGACUAUUUUAAAAGUGCAGGUGGUCCGGGCGCAGUAGAGCACACCGUAAUCCCAGCACUUUGGGACGCCAGGGUGGGUAGAUCACUUGAGCCUAGGAUUCCCAGACCAGCCUGGGCAAUGUGGCAAAACCCUGUCUCUACUAAAAAUACAAAAGUUAGCUGUGUGUGGUGGUGUGUGCCUGUAGUCCCAGCUACCCAGUAGGCUGAGGUGGGAGGAUCACCAGAGCCCGGGAGGCUGAGAUUACAGUGAGCCAUGAUCAUGGCAUUGCACUCCCACCUGGAUGGCAGAGUGAGACCCUGUCUCAAAAAAAAAAAAAAAAAAAAAAAAAGUAAUUUUUACCGUGACACCACAGUUCAAGAAAUAGAACAGUACUAGACUGGGGUAUAUUUAUAGGAGUGGCAUUGUUGGUUUUAGAGGUAUAUGAAUGAUAAAACUUUAGUAUUACAUAUUGUUGAACAUUUUCCCAAAGUGGUUGUACCAUUUGGCAGGGAUAUUCUGGUUACCCCAUGUCCUUGCUGAUGCCUGUCAGUUAAAAAUUAUUUUGCCAUUCUAGUAGGGGUGCAGUAAUGUAUCAGUGUGGUUUAAUUGAUUAUCUUUUAUUGCCAUUUUUAUGCCCUCUUUUGUGAAGUGCCUAUUAAAUCUUUUUAUCCACUUUUCAUUGACUUGCUUGUUUUUCUGUUGAUUUGUAAUACUUUAUUCUGGAUAUACAUCCUUUCUAGGAUAUAUAUGUAUUGCAUUUCCCUUUUUUCAAUCUGUAACUUGCCUUUUUACUCUUUUAAUGGUGUUUUUUCAUGAAUGGAGAUUCUCUAACUUUUUUUUUUUUCUUUUUGAGACAGGGUCUCACUCUGUUGCCCAGGCUGGAGUGCAGUGGCACAAUCUCAGCUUACCACUACAUUGACCUCCCAAGGCUUAGGUGAUGCUUCUGCCUCAGCCCAGAAGUAGCUGGGACCUCCAGGGGAGCACCACCACACUCAGCUCUUUUCUGUAUUUUUAGUAGAGAUGGAGUUUUGCCACGUCGCAUAGGCUGGUCUGGAAUUCCUAGGCUCACGUGAUAUACCUGCCUCGGCCUCCCAAAGUGUUGGGAUUACUGGCAUGAGCCACUGCACCCGGCCUGAGAUUCUUAAUUUUAAUGAAAUUAUACUUUAUCAAUCUUUUCCUUGAUGGUUACUACUUUUUGUGUCCUGUUUAAGAAAUCAACGCCUAACCUAAGAGUAUGAACACAUUUUUGUGUGUU